rnacentral:rRNA from 1 species
UACAGAGGGUGCAAGCGUUAAUCGGAAUUACUGGGCGUAAAGCGUGCGUAGACGGUUAUGUAAGUCAGAUGUGAAAGCCCCGGGCUCAACCUGGGAAUUGCAUUUGAGACUGCAUAGCUAGGGUGCGGAAGAGGGAAGCGGAAUUUCCGGUGUAGCGGUGAAAUGCGUAGAUAUCGGAAGGAACACCAGUGGCGAAAGCGGCUUCCUGGUCCAGCACCGACGUUCAGGCACGAAAGCGUGGGAGCAAACAGG